CCCAGCUCUCUAACGGAAGGACUCUGAAACGCUUCUUUAUGAUUCCAAGAGACUUUGCAGAGGAACAAGAGGACGCCCUCGGUGAACCUGGAGGCUUUUACACAGCGCUUUAAGUGCGUUGGAGGUUUUAUAUUUCGGUUUGUUGGCCACUCAAAGUCUGCUCAACAGACCCUUGUGUCCAAAUGUUGCCUUUAGUCGUUUUGUACUGGAGUGUGGGUCACCGAGGGAGGCGACUCGAGACCCGCAGACCUCUCUGCUCUCCCAUUUCCCUUUUAACUUAACCGCUGGACUUUAUACCGCAGCUGGGAAAAGAGCAGCUGUGGGGAUGUGCAGAUGUUGUGGGACAUUCUUUAUUAUAUAUGACUGGAUCAUCGGGGAAACGCGCUUCACUUUCUAAUGCACAACCCCUGUUUAAACAAAGCUCACUUUUGUUGUGAAUAUAUGCUUUAUGUAUCUGGUUACGGGGAGUGAAAUAGUGUGUAAAUAUGUAACACUUGGUCACACACUGUUUGAGCAGUCAGAAGAGAAACUAAUCAAUCAUGGUCAAUAUACUGGUCACUAAAACCUACGGAUGGAAAGGAUUCUUUUUCUAAAAGUUAUAAAUGUAUUAAAGUACUAUGAACAGGAAUUAAAGCUGCACUUUUUGGGGGGGCGACGACACCCAAUUUACAAAAAACUUUUGUACUGCUUUGAGCUGUGCACAAUGCAGAAGGAAAGCCACGAUGAGUCGGUUCUGUGCCACGCGGCGUCCUGAUGUGACCACCGUUCCGGGAGCAGUAACCCGCUGCAGAACCAGACGUUUUGUUUGCUCUCAUGUACAAGCAACUGCCCCCAACUUACUACAAAUCUUCCUUCCAGUUGAUCAAAAUAAUCUGUCCAAAUCCAAAAGAUUUCUUUUAAAAGUAUCAAACCCAAACAACAUAUGAGAAAGUUAAACCAGCACCAAAGCUGACGGCUUCAUUUCUAUUUGUCAGCCUGAACAUCGUUUCUCGCCGCCUCAGCUUUGUUUUACUUUACUUUUUUGCAGUAACAGUUUGAGUUCUCAAAUUUGUAUUACAAUGAUCUUGUGCAUGUCCAUUAUUUAUACUGUUGUGACAAUGAUGGUACCCAG
ensembl:lncRNA